rnacentral:rRNA from 1 species
UACGAAGGGGGCUAGCGUUGCUCGGAAUCACUGGGCGUAAAGCGCACGUAGGCGGGUUGUUAAGUCGGGGGUGAAAUCCUGGAGCUCAACUCCAGAACUGCCUUCGAUACUGGCGACCUUGAGUCCGGGAGAGGUGAGUGGAACUCCGAGUGCAGAGGUGAAAUUCGUAGAUAUUCGGAAGAACACCAGUGGCGAAGGCGGCUCACUGGCCCGGUACUGACGCUGAGGUGCGAAAGCGUGGGGAGCAAACAGG